AGUACAGGUCCCUUGUUCGGUUCCGCCAUUUCGCGCGGAUUAAAAGGGAACACGGUGCGGAUUACCCAUCAGGGGCCAAAACCGUGGCUGCCCUCGCAACUGUAAGCGGCAAGUGCCGCUGCCAUCGCCACUGACCUCACGGUUGGGAAGGCGGCAGCGCCACACUUGAGCCGUGAGCCAGGAGACCUGCCGAGCACACAUUCCAUGA
rnacentral:ncRNA from 2 species